AGAAAAAUCAAAACAAAUAUUAAAACGAUUCACAUGCAGUUGCAGGUAUGAUUAUACGAGGAUAUCCAAUCAACGGACGAGCGUUGACAAGCACUAGCUCGUACGCCGUAAAAAUAUUUAACCAAACUUUCGUCUCCGUCGGCCGAAGCUAUAUGAAGAGCCGUCUGGCCUUGGCCCUAUAUUUUCAGAAUGGAUGAUUGCUAAAUGAAUGGCCAUGUCACCGGACUUAGUCUUAAACUUUAGCUGUUCCACUGCUUGAGUUGACAGCAGUUCCCGGCACAUCGACUGGUUACCA